UACUGAUUGAAGGCUCAAAUGACUGAGC
rnacentral:piRNA from 1 species